rnacentral:tRNA from 1 species
GGGCCUGUAGCUCAGUUGGUUAGAGCAACUGACUCAUAAUCAGUGGGUCGCUGGUUCGAGUCCGGCCAGGCCCA